GAUGAACGCUAGCUACAGGCUUAACACAUGCAAGUCGCGGGGCAGCAUGGGGGUUGCUUGCAAUCCCUGAUGGCGACCGGCGCACGGGUGAGUAACGCGUAUCCAACCUGCCCUUCACCACGGGAUAACCCGGCGAAAGUCGGACUAAUACCGUAUGUUGUCCAUUGACGGCAUCCGAUUGGGACGAACGGCUUCGCGGUGAGGGAGGGGGAUGCGUCUGAUUAGCUUGACGGCGAGGUAACGGGCCACCAUGGCGAUGAUGGGUAGCGGUUCUGUGAGGAUGAGCAGCCACACUGGAACUGAAACACGGUCCAGACUCCGACGGGAGGCAGCAGUGGGGAAUCUUGCGCAAUGGACGAAAGUGUGACGCAGCCACGCCGCGUGAGUGAAGAAGGCCUUCGGGUUGUAAAGCUCUGUCGGAUGGGACGAACAGCGUCAUAGUGAAUAGCUAUGAGGACUGACGGUACCAUCAAAGGAAGCACCGGCUAACUCCGUG
rnacentral:rRNA from 1 species